UAGCAUAAUCAUUAGUUUCUUAAUUGGGAGCUUGUAUGAAGGGUUGGACGAAAGAAUAGCUGUCUCUAUUAUAAAAAUUGAAUUUGACCUUUAAGUGAAAAGGCUUAAAUAUUUCAGGGGGACGAUAAGACCCUAUAAAGCUUUACAUAAUCAUUAAGUUUGACUGAAUUAGUAAAAUAAAUGUUUAGCUAAGUUAUUAUGUUUUAUUGGGGCGAUAUAGGUAUAAAUUUAAUUAACUGCUUAAAUAAUAUACAAUAAUAGAUGAGAAAGUAAAAGAUCCUUUUUAGAGACUAAAAGACUAAGUUACUUUAGGGAUAACAGCGUUAUUUCUUUUGAGAGUUCCUAUCGAAAAAGAAGUUUGCGACCUC
rnacentral:rRNA from 1 species